GGAAGGAUGGCCCAGUGGUUAGGGCGCUGACUUGGGAGAACUGGGUUCAAACCCCUGCUCUGCCG
rnacentral:tRNA from 1 species